rnacentral:rRNA from 1 species
UGUAAGCGUAUACCAAAGUUGUUGCAGUUAAAACGCUCGUAGUCGGAAUUUGGCAGUUCCGGAUGUGUGCACGUCGUGUGCGCACUUCGCGGGGAUUGCUUUUGUGGUCUUGCGUAGGAUGAGGCACUUUUAUUAGUGAACGUCCUCACGCAACCACUUUUUACUGUGAGAAAAUCAGAGUGCUCAAAGCAGGCAUUUGCCGUGAAUGUAUUAGCAUGGAAUAAUAGAAUAGGACUUGGUUCUAUUUUGUUGGUUUGUUGAGACUGAGUAAUGAUUAAGAGGGACAGUUGGGGGCAUUUGUAUUUCGGUGCUAGAGGUGAAAUUCUUAGAUUACCGAAAGACAAACUGCUGCGAAAGCGUCCGCCAAGGAUGUUUUCAUUGA